rnacentral:lncRNA from 1 species
AAAAUCAAAUUCACCAAUUGGGAGAAGAAACCCUAGAAUUAGAUCAUAUAUUUCAUCAUCUAAAAUGAAUUCAUACCCCUCAGAAUCACAAAAACAAACGCAUUCACUUGAUUCUACAAAACCCAGCAACAAAGUGAGAUCAACAAAGAGGAGAGUCUCUUCAAAAAAGGAGAAAGAAAAGUGUCACCUCGGAGAAGAAGAAGAAGAAAAUAUGUUUUUUCUUCUUUUUUUUUAAAGAUUAUUAAUAGUCAUCUGCCACAUCACCCUUAAGAAGAAGAAGAAGGCACCAAAAAAUCAGAAGGGAAUCUGGGCCUUUUGUGUCUGGUUGGCUGGUCACGAUCGAGUAUCAACGGGGGAUCAUAUGCUACGCUGGGAUCGGG